GAUGAACGCUGGCGGCGUGCCUAAUACAUGCAAGUCGAGCGAACAGAUGAGGAGCUUGCUCCUCGGACGUUAGCGGCGGACGUGUGAGUAACACGAGUAUAACCUACCUAUAAUACUGGUAUAUCUUCGGGAAACCGGAGCUAAUACCGGAUAAUAUAUUGAACCGCGUGGUGCAAUAGUGAAAGUCGGUUUUGCUGUCACUUCUAGAUGGAUCUCGGCCGGAUUAGAUGGUUGGUAAGGUAACGGCUUACCAAGGCAACGAUGCGUAGCCGACCUGAGAGAGGGGUCGGCGACACGGGAGCGUGACCGGCGUCCAGACUCCUAAGGUAGGCAGCAGUAGGGAACCGGCCGCAAUAGGGGAAAGCCUGACGGAGCAACGCCACGCGAGAGAUGAAGGUGUUCGGAUCGUAAAGCUCUGUUAUGAGUGAAAAACAAAUGUGUAAGUAACUAUGCACGUCUUGACGGUACCUGAUCAGGAAGCCACGGCUAACUACGUG
rnacentral:rRNA from 1 species